rnacentral:misc_RNA from 1 species
CAACCCUCAAGCACUGCUUGGUGUUGGGGCCCUACCGCCUGUCGGUAGGCCCCGAAAUAUAGUGGCGGACCCGCUGGAAGUCCGAGCGCAGUAGUUUUCUCUCGCUCCGGAGGACCCGGUGGUGCCUUGCCGUUAAACCCCCAAUUUUUUAA